rnacentral:lncRNA from 1 species
UUUGACUGACACUUGUGAUUUACCGGAAAGCUAUAGCGCCUUGAUUGAAUUGUCGUUGAGACACAUUUUUAGCAAGGUUUAUCUCAGGUUGACAGGUAUGCGCAGUUUGUCACCUUUAUUCAAGUAUUGAAAACUUCAAUUCAUAGAGUAUAUGCCAAUGACUUCAAAAUCAAUUAUGGGUUGGAUGGUGGGGAAAGUGUAAAAGUACUCAUUUUAAAUCCAUAGUUUUGUUCUAUGCCAUCUUAAAAAUUUUGGAAUCACAAGGCAUAAGUAUAAAAUUUUUCUUUUAAAUCAUGUAUUGACAAAUUUUGACAUAGCAAUUAUGUAGUCAUUAGCAUUGGUUUUUCAGAUUCAUGUAUCAUUUAUGUAACUCAAGAGGUGUUUUGAUACAAUAUAUUAAAUUCUCACUUCUAAACAAACAAAAAUGGAUGCCUCAUUUUAUAUAUGGAGAUUUGGACAGCAUAGACGGCUGAAAAGAUCCAUGGACAGCCGAGAAUAUCAAGUCCGGCUGGCCUGAAGAAAAACCAGAGUAAGCAAAAACAGCAGCCUCGGAUUAUACUCAAUAUGGAUGAAAAUAAUCUUUUUCUGCAAACUCUGGUUUAUUCUCAACCUUUUGGAAUAUAUUGAGAUUUUAACUGGAUUUUCUUGCCAUGAAAGCUUCAUCAACAUCUCAUAUCAACUAUCUUUCAACUUACUUUUUCCUUCUGGCCAUAUUGUCUUUCAGGUUGCAGAUUUUGGCCUUGCACAUGCAUCGAAGGAUGGCUCUAUUUCCUUUGAACCGGUAAAUACCGAUAUCCGAGGAACUCCAGGUAAGACGAUAAAUUUGACCCUCCUGCAUCAGAUGUUCCAUUCAUUAAGCUAAGAGUUCUAAUUGUAUGGUGCCAUUCAGGUUACAUGGAUCCUGAGUAUGUGGUCACUCAAGAGCUCACGGAGAAAAGUGAUGUGUAUAGUUAUGGUGUUGUACUUUUGGAGAUAGUAACUGGAAGACGGGCAAUACAAGACAACAUGAAUUUAUUGGAAUGGUCUCAAAUGUUCAUGGCUUCAGAAUUAAGACUACAUGAGUUAGUGGACCCAAGCAUCCAGAAUUCCUUUGACUUGGACCAGCUUCAAACAAUUGCCUCUAUUGUGAGAUGGUGCACACAGAGGGAAGGAAGGGCUAGACCUUCAAUCAAACAGGUCCUUAGGCUUUUAUAUGAGAGCUCAGACCCGAUACAUAGUGGGCUUUUACAAGCUGUGGAAGAUGAAGAGUAUGAGGGAAGUGAAGGUCGAGGAAGAAGAAGUAAAGGGAAAAUGCACAGAAGUGAUGCAGUUUUUUACAGUGGCGAUGGAAGAUGCCUUGCUUCUUCUUCAAGUACAUCAAGGUCAUAUUGCAGCAGAAGCUUUUUACUUGAAACUGGCUCCCCACAAUCUCCUUCCAAUAUACUUUCCCUCUGAGGCGGAUCAUUUUUUUUCUCUCCAAGCCUUUGACUGACACUUGUGAUUUACCGGAAAGCUAUAGCGCCUUGAUUGAAUUGUCGUUGAGACACAUUUUUAGCAAGGUUUAUCUCAGGUUGACAGGUAUGCGCAGUUUGUCACCUUUAUUCAAGUAUUGAAAACUUCAAUUCAUAGAGUAUAUGCCAAUGACUUCAAAAUCAAUUAUGGGUUGGAUGGUGGGGAAAGUGUAAAAGUACUCAUUUUAAAUCCAUAGUUUUGU